GAUGAACGCUGACAGAAUGCUUAACACAUGCAAGUCGAUGGGGAAGUGGUGCUUGCACCAUGGUAACCAUGGCGGACGGGUGAGUAACGCGUAAGGGACUUGCCCGCGGGACCGGGAUAACAGCAGGAAACUGCUGACAAGACCGGAUAAGGUCAUGGAGCCGCAUGGUUACAUGAUGAAAGGAGACGCCUGCGGAGAGCCUUGCGUCCUAUUAGCUAGUUGGGGGGGUAACGGCCCACCAAGGCGAAGAUAGGUAGCCGGCCUGAGAGGGUGGACGGCCACAAGGGGACUGAGAUACGGCCCUUACUCCUACGGGAGGCAGCAGUGGGGAAUAUUGGACAAUGGGGGCAACCCUGAUCCAGCAAUUCUGUGUGCACGAAGACGGUUUUCGGAUUGUAAAGUGCUUUCAGCAGGGAAGAAGUAAGUGACGGUACCUGCAGAAGAAGCGACGGCUAAAUACGUGCCAGCAGCCGCGGUAAUACGUAUGUCGCGAGCGUUAUCCGGAAUUAUUGGGCAUAAAGGGCAUCUAGGCGGCCUGACAAGUCAGGGGUGAAAACCUGCGGCUCAACCGCAGGCCUGCCUUUGAAACUGACAGGCUGGAGUACCGGAGAGGUGGACGGAACUGCACGAGUAGAGGUGAAAUUCGUAGAUAUGUGCAGGAAUGCCGAUGAUGAAGAUAGUUCACUGGACGGUAACUGACGCUGAAGUGCGAAAGCCGGGGGAGCGAACAGG
rnacentral:rRNA from 1 species